CUUCACACUACAUCCUCGCGACUAAUGACAAUCCUUAACCCGCCCAUUGGGAUUAAAGUCUCUCAUUAGCCGCGCGAACCUCUGUAACGGAAGAUCUCGCUAUCGAACACUUUGUUUUUAAAACUCUACUUUUUUAUAAGACGUAAUUUAUAACACUUCGUUUAUAAAACUUCAUUUAUAAAAAAGUAGCGUAGAAACAACAGUAAUGACAACUUUGCAAUUUACCGUCGCCUCCUAGAAUAAAGGGGCCAACUUGGCCCCUUUAC
rnacentral:sRNA from 1 species